rnacentral:sRNA from 1 species
GGCAGCUAGAAAACGGUUCUUGUUUUUAUUUCGCCGUUUCGUUAGAUCUCUUGUAUUUCUUCCGUAACGUCGUGCGCAAUAGCAAUCUCCUUUUCCACGCUAUCGUUGCCGUCAUGGCUUUUACAAGAUUUAUCAAGGAUAUACAUUAUGUCUAACACUGUUACUGGUACAGUUAAAUGGUUCAACGAAACUAAAGGUUUCGGUUUCAUCCAACAAGAAAACGGCCCUGACGUUUUCGCUCACUUCUCUGCAAUCACUGGCGACGGUUUCCGUACUCUAGUUGAAGGUCAAAAAGUUGAGUUCACUGUAUCUCAAGGUCAAAAAGGCCCACAAGCUGAGAACAUCAAACUAGUUUAAUUUUUAACUAGCUAGAUAAAGUUUUAUAAUAGCCAGCUUCAAGCUGGCUAUUUUUUU